rnacentral:rRNA from 1 species
CUACGGGCUGCUCCAGUGAGGAAUUUUGCGCAAUGGGGGAAACCCUGACGCAGCAACGCCGCGUGAGUGAUGAAGGCCCUCGGGUCGUAAAGCUCUGUCAAGUGGGAAGAACCUAUCGACAUUGAACAGGUAUUGAUACUGACGGUACCACAAGAGGAAGCACCGGCUAACUCCGUGCCAGCAGCCGCGGUAAUACGGGGGGUGCAAGCGUUAUUCGGAAUCAUUGGGCGUAAAGGGCGCGCAGGCGGCCUUGUCAGUCAGAUGUGAAAGCCCGGGGCUCAACCCCGGAAGUGCAUUUGAAACUAUGAGGCUUGAGUAUGGGAGAGGGAAGUGGAAUUCCUGGUGUAGCGGUGAAAUGCGUAGAUAUCAGGAGGAACACCGGUGGCGAAGGCGACUUCCUGGACCAAUACUGACGCUGAGGCGCGAAGGCGUGGGGAGCAAACAGGAUUAGAUACCCUUGUAGUC